UGAAUCGUCAUGCCUUUGCCCUGCGCCUCAAGCUACAUCCCAUUAUUAUUUAGUAUAAGCACAUGGAUGACCUCGUUAGCAUAAACAAGUGUUGUUCUACCAGCUUUCAUCAAUAAUCUAUCCUUUGCUGACGCCCAUGGUGACACCUUUUCCAGCUGAACCUUGAUGGUUUGAUUAGGCUCAGGGAAUCAUACAGCUCAGCUUCGAGAUGUUCGUUGCCGCCCAUGGGAAAAGUCCGAGUGCUCCUGACUGUAGCAGUGGAUAAGGAAGUGCUUGUGAACAAGCAAACAAUUAUAAUGGGAGAGCAAAAAGGGUCUCCACGCAGUGGCUACUGAAACCUGAAAGGAAUUCAUUAUUGGAGCCAACAACGUGUAGGUAAAAAAGAUAAAAAGAGGGAAGAAGCCGGAAAAGGGGAAAAGAAAUCAAGAAGAGGACGAUCUAUGUACGUUAACUACAAAGGAAGGAAGAUCCGCCAAUCGUACGCCGCACGGCUGCUCUUCUCGAUCGGAUCGACGGCGGGGGUGACCGUCACCCGGUGGUCCCCAGCCACGACGCCGGCACCAGCCCCCGGCGGAGCACCACCGAAUACUCCGGCAGUUCUCCGAGCCCGGCGAACAGCGAGUCCUCCUCGCCCCCCCCGCCUCCCCCCGCGGCCUGCUCCUCCAGUUCCUCGGGCAGCGCGGCCGCGGCCCCGGCGAAGAUGACCGACCCGUAGAGCAGCUCGUGGGAGUUAUCGACGGAGGGGGAGGCCGAGGGCGUGAAGCAGACGUCGGCAAACCACGGGAAGCCGCCACGCGCGUCGACCGUGAGCGCCGACUCCUCCUCUGCGAUCGGAUCGGAGAAUUUCUCGUCGCGCUCCGCGGAGUCCGGCGUGCCGGAUUGGCCCAGCUGCUCCUCGGGUCGUGCCGCGGCGUGCUUGUGGUGGUGGUUCCUGGGGACCGGCCAGGUGUGGUUGUGCUCGAAGGAGUAGGUAACCACGAUCACGGCUGGGUCGACGCGGCUCCGCUCCACCUGCUUCCUCGCCGGGCACCCCUUGGAGCUGCUGCACCUGUAGUAACCCCUGCACGUCCCGUCAAAAUCACCAGAUCGGUUUCAUCUUCUUCUCCAUCUCCCUUGUGCUUCUUUCUAGUGCCAUAUAGCUGUAAAAAAAAAAAAAGAAAAUACGUACAAACCUGGGAUAAGGUGAACCUUUAAUAGGCUUCUGGCCGUACUUCCUCCAGGUCCACGAAUCCGGUGGCGGAGCCCCCUCGCCGCCGCCCUUCGCCUCGCUGAUCGGCAUCGUCACCACCCGCUUCUGCACCGCCCGCCGGCUGUUCAUCCACGAUCCCAGUUUAAUGCCAGUAAAUCAAGAACACUAAGAAGGGCACGGAACAAGAAUCGAAUAGCUGUCGAAGGAGAAGAAGGAUCCACCAUCUCUUGGGACAUGGAGCCGAAGACCGGACGGGCUGCGAGUCGUCGGUCGAUCCAGCUGACACCGGCCUCCCAUCGUUGGCCUCGGAUGCGUCCCCGACCUCGUCCGCCUCGGAUGCGCCGGGCUCGUUGCUGCAGCUCCCGGUCAUUACGAUCCACGAAGAAGCAAAAUAAUUAAAGCUGUACCAACUAUAUGCUCCGCAGCUGAUCCUCCAAGGCAAGCACUCAAUCACUCACUUUGCUCGAACCGGACAAGAGAGCUUUGCACCAACAUGGCACAAAAGAGCUUUCUUGGGGAAUGGAUAGAGGAAGAAGAGAAACGGGGAGAGGUGAAGGGUGUUGGGUGGAGGAGCAGAUGGGGACAGGAUGCAGUUCUAGUAGUCAUCGCAGGCGCACAUCCAAGCUAUUAAAAAAGCACAUAAUGGCCGGGUCGCCUGGGCUAGACUUUGUCUACGAGUUGCUCGCCAUGACUGCACGGGGAGAGGAAGAGGAUGAAGCGAUGUGGGGGCACAUAACUCCACCUAAACUACUGAAAGAGGCCCGUCCCCACCAUCAUGCCAAUAUAUUAGUGGUAGCAGCCCCAGCCAUGCCCUUCUAUUAUUGAAGCGAUGAGAUCCGGAACAUGAGGGAGGCGAGCUUCACGAUGGCAACUUGCUUUUGCUAAUCAUCUUCUCUUUUCACAGCUAUUUCGUCUUGAGGAUAAGUUCCCCAUCUGCUAUUGGUCAGUCGGGAUGCCGUGGGACCCGGUGAAUCCAUCGCCCUCGAGUCACCUUCAUCUAGAAAGCCUGGAGUCUGGACCCUGUCUGAGCUCACACAGGUACGCAAAUCUUCCUUGCCAUUUGCCUUGGUGCAUAAGAAACUUGGCCUUUUUUUUCUUUCUUCUUCACGUCAGCGAUGGGUUUAAUUAUAAAUCAAGCGGCUCAUUCCCGCUCCCGGCCGUAUUAUUAUUAUUAUUAUUAUUAUUAUUAUGCCAACGUGGCCAGCGCUGUAUCUAUUUGACAAAAGCGACAUUUGGUAUUGUCAAGCGGAAAGUCAACGCAACUGCCGGUGCUAAAGAGCCACUUAGAUUCUAUUCAAUGAGUGGGAAGAAUCAGAUCGAUGGCUGAUGGAAGGCACCGUAUGACCUCAAUCUCUCUGAUCGGUCGUCAAGUCUAAUCGUAUCACUUCCACUUUUUGAGGUGGUUUCCGCCAAUACCUUGGAAAGUAAAUCCUACCCAAACAUGGCUUUAAUCGUACACGCAUAUCCUAAUUCCCACUUCAUUGGGCCGACACGAGAUGAGGAGCAUCCCACACGCGCGAUAGCAAUCUCUACCAAAUGGCCGCCUCGUCGCGUUAAACACGUUUCGUCGUCGUCAUGCUUCUACUUUUCCGAGAAGGAAAAGGGCAAAUACUGGAGACCCCACAAGUCUAUUCUACGUCGAUCCAAUGUUCUUCUCGUUAAUAUUUUCCUCCAUUGGUCGCUCUCUACCGUUCCGAUGUCGACACCCAUAGAUUGACUUGCUCGAGAUUUCUCAUGCACGCAUGGAUUGACUAAAACCCAUCGGAUGGGUUAGAAAACAUGUUGUUACAAGUCAUUCAAAGUAUGCAACGCCGGAAAAUAACUAUACACGAUUCCAAGUUGCUCAACUUGUGCUACGCAUGAAAUAAAAGGAACGAAUUGUUAUUUUAAUUUUGUCAUUAUAUCUCAUCUACGCGAGUUUUUCUAUCCAUACGUUAUAACAGUUAACAUUCGAUACAUAUGUCGGUCGUUAUUUUUCCUUGUUAUAUUCAAAUAAUGCGAUGGCUACAGAGCAGGGCGUAGGACCGACCUUUCGGAGUCCAAAAAACAUCUACUCCGAACUCUACCCGAAUAACUUCCUGUUACUUGUUGGCUCACACGUAACCUACUGCGGGGGCCACAUGGGAUCAUAAGGUUUUGGGGAGAGAUUCUGAGUAGACGAAACAUUAUGCGACCUUUAUUUUGUAGUACGAGUCACGUGCCAAUUGAACCGUUGUGACUUCGAAGAAGAAGCAGUCGCUCGAUUCAAACCGCGAGUGGCCUCCGCCUCCCUCCUCGGGUCCUUCAUCUCGUCGUCGUUGCUGCAGCUUCCUGUGGAGACUCCACCAUGGUCGAGGGUGACGAGGUGGUCUUCCCCACCUGGGACUCUCUUUGGUUCUUCGCCAACAUGCUUUCGCCUCCCUCUCCCGUUCCCAAGAGCGCAGAUAUAUCUUACCCAUGUGUGCAGCAAGAGAAAGACUGUACUCCCGCAGCAGAUAGAUGCCAAGAAUCAGAAGCAGGAACCACCGGACAAGCAGGAAUCAGCGAAGCAGGAGCCUACAACACCACGGAACACAGGAGGAAGCAGGGGAAGAAGAGAAGAAAUCAGAGAUUUUGCUGCAAGGAGAAGGAGCAGGUCAAGGAUUCGGAAGAACUGGAAGUGUGGUUGCGUGGACUGAGGUCGAAUGGCGGAGUGCUUACGGCGAGCCGGAGCUGCGGUCGAUUCGCGCACUGUGAUGGGAAUGUCAGGCUUCGUCGUUGCGGUAUGCCUCCUCUUGCUGAUGGCCUGGCCAUGAAGCAGCACCUCAAGUCAUGGGCUCAUGCGGUUGCCUGCGCUGUUAGAUAACUCAUUAAGACGCAGUUCCUCCUUUGAUCGAUUGUAGCAGAAUUCUUCUUCUUCUUCUUCUUCGUUGCCUGCUGCUAACUUUCUCAUUGUUGUUUGUGGCCUUCGUUGGCUUCGCUGUGCUUUGAUAAUGGUGCUGCGUCUCUCUAUUGACAUCUAUUGGCUGAUAGAA